CACACGCAGAAGGAAUAUUAGGUCACACCGUGACGUUGAUCACAUCCCGGCUUCAUUAAAUGUGACAUUUACUGAGAAAAUCACUGUUACCUCAGGGGAGCCAUUAGAUGGCAGAAGCGACAAGACUGGCAGCAAGAGAAGAAGGUUAGAGGCACAUUUGGAAGUCCCAAGAAUAAAACAAGAGGAAUUUUAAAGGUUAAAGACCAAGGAGGACAUGAAAGAGAAAGUAAAAGGACUUUCUUGGAGUCACGCUGACUUACGCCUCGGGAGGGGCACGAUGCUCCGUGGGGCUUGGCUCCUCAGUGGGGACGCACCGGAAGCAAAUCUGUAGAACGGUGGGAACAUGAUGUCUCGAGGCUGGCAUCUCGUGGAACAUCAGCGUCACCCGCUGCUGGCUUUCCUGUCGCGAGCUACAGAUGCGGGGCGUCUCGUCUGCAAGGUCAGAGCUGUUCGUCAGAGAGACUAAAGGUACCGAGUCUCGGACACCCCAGUGAGCGGUGAGUCCAGUUAUGUACUGGAACAUUUUAAAAAUCACCAAAUAAUUGGAAAUUCCUCUUUUAUCAUUAAAAAGUUACAAAACAUUCACUCAAUUAAUAAAAUCAAACACAAGAUACGUUGAGGACGAAGU
rnacentral:lncRNA from 1 species